GACGAACGCUGGCGGCGUGCUUAACACAUGCAAGUCGAACGGAAAGGCCUGCUUUCCCUUGUGGGUUGCGGGUACUCGAGUGGCGAACGGGUGAGUAACACGUGAGUGAUCUGCCCCCAACUUGGGUAUAAGCCUGGGAAACUGGGUCUAAUUCCCGAUAGGACUGCAGGGUGGUGCCUGUGGUGGAAAACGAUGUUCUAGUGGUUGGGGAUGAGCUCGCGGCCUAUCAGCUUGUUGGUGGGGUAAUGGCCUACCAAGGCGGCGACGGGUAGCCGGCCUGAGAGGGUGGACGGCCACAUUGGGACUGCGAUACGGCCCCGACUCCUACGGGAGGCAGCAGUGGGGACUAUUGCACAAUGGGCGGAAGCCUGAUGCAGCGACGCCGCGUGGGGGAUGACGGCCUUCGGGUUGUAAACUCCUUUCGACCGCGAGGAAGCCACCUGGUUGGAAGGGUGGUGACGGUAGUGGUAGAAGAAGCACCGGCUAACUACGUG
rnacentral:rRNA from 1 species